UACAGAGGUCCCGAGCGUUGUUCGGAUUCACUGGGCGUAAAGGGUGCGCAGGUGGGUUUGCAAGUUCGAUGUGAAAGCCCCGGGCUUAACCCGGGAAUGGCAUUGGAUACUGCAGAUCUGGAGGAUCGGAGGGGGGACUGGAAUUCUUGGUGUAGCAGUGAAAUGCGUAGAUAUCAAGAGGAACACCAGUGGCGAAGGCGAGUCCCUGGACGAUACCUGACACUGAGGCACGGAAGCUAGGGGAGCAAACAGG
rnacentral:rRNA from 1 species